rnacentral:rRNA from 1 species
GACGAACGCUGGCGGCGUGCUUAACACAUGCAAGUCGAACGGAAAGGCCCUGCUUUUGUGGGGUGCUCGAGUGGCGAACGGGUGAGUAACACGUGAGUAACCUGCCCUUGACUUUGGGAUAACUUCAGGAAACUGGGGCUAAUACCGGAUAGGAGCUCCUGCUGCAUGGUGGGGGUUGGAAAGUUUCGGCGGUUGGGGAUGGACUCGCGGCUUAUCAGCUUGUUGGUGGGGUAGUGGCUUACCAAGGCUUUGACGGGUAGCCGGCCUGAGAGGGUUACCGGCCACAGUGGGACUGAGAUACGGCCCAGACUCCUACGGGAGGCAGCAGUGAGGAAUAUUGCACAAUGGGCGGAAGCCUGAUGCAGAAACGUCGCGUGCGGGAUGACGGCCUUCGGGUUGUAAACCGCUUUCGCCUGUGACGAAGCGUGAGUGACGGUAAUGGGUAAAGAAGCACCGGCUAACUACGUG